GGGGCUGUAGCUCAGUGGCAGAGCACUUGUCUUGGACAUGGGAGGCACUGGGUUUGAUCCUCAGCACCA
rnacentral:tRNA from 1 species